rfam:Stegodyphus mimosarum contig55792, whole genome shotgun sequence.
CCCUUUGUGGUGUAGUGGAUCUGCACGCUGGGCCGAUAUUCCAGAGGACCGUGGUUCGAUUCCCGGCGAAGGCG